CAUUUAAGUAAUUAAGGACCUGGUUGUAACAAGUUUCUGCACUGAAAUGUAGUUAAAGAGUCACAAGUUCUCUGGGGGUGCCUCUCCGCCCCAGCUUUGGAAGUCUAUAAUUCACCUCAUCGAGGGUUAGCUCUCAACGAGCCAGAGUUCCACUUUCUUUCUUCCUUUCAGGUUCUGCCGUGGCUUGGUCCUAAUGGUGGGCGGCUCUCCGAGAAGUCAGGGUUCGCUGUUGCGCGAUGAGGAGAAGCAAUCCCUGCCAGUUUCUCAUCCCCCACCCUGGGAGCGUCAAAGCCAAUGUGACACCCCCUUCAGAGUCCGCAGGAAAGGUCAGCCUCUUUUCACAGCCCGGACACGAACUGGCACCGUCCAAGCUGUAUGACUCAUCCUGCGCUACCAGAGGCCGUGCUUUUAUCACCUUAUUUACCAUAGCUGUCGUCUACAUUUUUUUCUGUUAAAUAGGAUCAAACCCAGUCCAAAUGAUCCUAUGAUUUUUUUUUCAACUGAAUUGGUAAUCAUUAAGAAGAAAAGUACAAUUAUUACAAAAAAAAAAUACAAAUAUUAAUUGCUGGUUGAAUUUGGUAAAAAAAAAAAAAAAAAAAAUUGGUAAGGUUCUUGGUUUAGCUUUGUGCACACCCCAGUUUGUUCUCCAAUGGAAUACAGAACGCUUUUUUUUCUGAUUGGGAAAACAAUUGAGAAUCAUUCCAAAUUUACAAUCAAUCGUACCAUUUUGCACCAUAGAAAGGCAUCUUUAUGUAGCCAUAUUUAACAACUUGAAAUGUAAUUUAGAGAUACUGUCUGCUCUAGUAAAGUACACAAUCACAAUUGCAGCUAAACAGAGCAAGUUACACAUGCUUUUUUUUAAAAAAUACAGUAUAUGGAAAAAAACCUGUAAUGCUCCUUUCAAUGUCUGUAUUGCUUCCUGAAUUAUACCAGUGCAUACAGAUGAUAAAACUGCCUGCUGAUGGUGUGUCUGUUUGGCUCACAAAUAAACAUGUGUCAAUGU